CUUUCUUCUCCACCCAUUGGAACCUUCCAUUGAAAUAAAAUGAAGAUGUUUGGAAGUUCAAAUUAAACUGCCCAUAACUCUAAUAUUAAGUAAAGCACCGAUACACUAGUUAUGUAGAGGGAUCAAUAAUCUCAGCUAUUGAAAACCCCAAAUCACUUCUAGUUCAAAUGAAAAGCAUGGGAACCCUGUGACGAGAUAAAGCCUACAGAUUCCAGGACGUAAGAGCUGCAUGGACACAAAGAUAGAUGUUACAAUAUGGUCCCUGUGCCCAAGAAGAUCAGAAGGUGGAAAUAACAUGUAAACAAAUUACAAGGUGAGAAAUGUCAUGGGAAGCAUCUAUCAAGUACUACAGUUGAGGAGGAAGAAGUAAUGAG